AUCGGAAUUACUGGGCGUAAAGCGUGCGUAGGCGGCUGUUUAAGUCAGAUGUGAAAGCCCCGGGCUUAACCUGGGAACUGCAUUUGAUACUGGGCAGCUAGAGUUGAGUAGAGGAAAGGGGAAUUUCAGGUGUAGCGGUGAAAUGCGUAGAGAUCUGAAGGAACACCAGUGGCGAAGGCGCCUUUCUGGACUCAAACUGACGCUGAGGUACGAAAGCGUGGGUAGCAAACAGGAUUAGAUACCCUGGUAGUCCACGCCGUAAACGAUGUCAACUAGCCGUUGGUCUUAUUCGUAAGAUUCGUGGCGCAGCUAACGCGAUAAGUUGACCGCCUGGGGAGUACGGCCGCAAGGUUAAAACUCAAAUGAAUUGACGGGGGCCCGCACAAGCGGUGGAGCAUGUGGUUUAAUUCGAUGCAACGCGAAGAACCUUACCUACCCUUGACAUGCAUAGAAUC
rnacentral:rRNA from 1 species